rfam:Human echovirus 19 strain Burke 5' non-translated region, partial sequence.
UCCCACCCACGGGGCCCAAUGGGCGCUAGCACUCCGGUAUUACGGUACCCUUGUGCGCCUGUUUUAU